GUGGCAUACGGCUCAGUAACACGUAGUCAACAUGCCCAGGGGACGUGGAUAACCUCGGGAAACUGAGGAUAAACCGCGAUAGGUCAUCACUUCUGGAAUGGGUAAUGACUUAAACCUAUAUGGCCCCUGGAUUGGACUGCGGCCGAUCAGGCUGUUGGUGAGGUAAUGGCCCACCAAACCUGUAACCGGUACGGGCUCUGAGAGGAGGAGCCCGGAGAUGGGCACUGAGACAAGGGCCCAGGCCCUAUGGGGCGCAGCAGGCGCGAAACCUCUGCAAUAGGCGAAAGCUUGACAGGGUUACUCUGAGUGAUUUCCGUUAAGGAGAUCUUUUGGCACCUCUAAAAAUGGUGCAGAAUAAGGGGUGGGCAAGUCUGGUGUCAGCCGCCGCGGUAAUACCAGCACCCCGAGUGGUCGGGACGUUUAUUGGGCCUAAAGCAUCCGUAGCCGGUUCUACAAGUCUUCCGUUAAAUCCACCUGCUUAACAGAUGGGCUGCGGAAGAUACUAUAGAGCUAGGAGGCGGGAGAGGCAAGCGGUACUCGAUGGGUAGGGGUAAAAUCCGUUGAUCCAUUGAAGACCACCAGUGGCGAAGGCGGCUUGCCAGAACGCGCUCGACGGUGAGGGAUGAAAGCUGGGGGAGCAAACCGGAUUAGAUACCCGGGUAGUCCCAGCUGUAAACGAUGCA
rnacentral:rRNA from 1 species